rnacentral:rRNA from 1 species
CUCCCUCGUUGCUGAUCUCAGGUUCGAUAAUGCCAAUAUCGCACCACCUCGCCUAAGACCAACUUCGAUGAAGCGACGGGCGGUGUGUG